GCUGGCGUAGCUUAAUUAAAGCAUAACACUGAAGAUGUUAAGAUGAGCCCUAACAAGCUCCGCGAGCA
rnacentral:tRNA from 1 species